rnacentral:rRNA from 1 species
UACGGGAGGCAGCAGUGGGGAAUAUUGCACAAUGGGCGCAAGCCUGAUGCAGCCAUGCCGCGUGUAUGAAGAAGGCCUUCGGGUUGUAAAGUACUUUCAGUCGUGAGGAAGGUGUUAAGGUUAAUAACCUUAGCAAUUGACGUUAGCGACAGAAGAAGCACCGGCUAACUCCGUGCCAGCAGCCGCGGUAAUACGGAGGGUGCGAGCGUUAAUCGGAAUUACUGGGCGUAAAGGGCACGCAGGCGGUUAAUUAAGUUGGAUGUGAAAUCCCCGGGCUUAACCUGGGAAUGGCAUUCAAGACUGGUUAGCUAGAGUCUUGUAGAGGGGGUAGAAUUCCAUGUGUAGCGGUGAAAUGCGUAGAGAUGUGGAGGAAUACCGGUGGGCGAAGGCGGCCCCCUGGGACAAAGGACUGACGCUCAUGUGCGAAAGCGUGGGGAGCAAAAC